GAUAAUAAUUUAAAGUCUGACCUGCCCAUUAAAAUAAAUGAAGGGCCGCAGUAUUUUGACUGUGCAAAGGUAGCAUAAUCAUUAGUCUUUUAAUUAAGGACUAGUAUGAAUGGUUUAACGAAAUAUUAACUGUCUCAUAAUAAUAAUAUAGAAUUUAACUUUUAAGUUAAAAGGCUUAAAUGUAAUUAGAGGACGAGAAGACCCUAUAGAGCUUUAUAUUUACAUUUUUAAAUUUUAUUUAGAUGUUUAUAAUUUUUAAAUAUAAAAAUAUUUUAUUGGGGUGAUAAGAAGAUAAAAAUAACUCUUUAUAAAGAUAAACAUUAAUUUAUGAAUAAUUGAUCCAUUAUUAGUGAUUAUAAGAUUAAGUUACCUUAGGGAUAACAGCGUAAUGUUUUUUAAGAGUUCUUAUCAACAAAAAAGAUUGCGACCUCGAUGUUGGAUAAAGGUAAUAAUUGGGUGUAGAAGUUCAAAUUUUAGGUCUGUUCGACCUUUAAAUCCUUACAUGAUCUGAGUU
rnacentral:rRNA from 1 species